rnacentral:rRNA from 1 species
UACGUAGGGUGCGAGCGUUGUUCGGAAUUACUGGGCGUAAAGGGCGCGUAGGCGGCGACUCAAGUUAGAUGUGAAAGUCCUGGGCUUAACCUGGGGACUGCAUUUGAUACUGGGUUGCUUGAAUUCGGGAGAGGAUAGCGGAAUUCCCAGUGUAGAGGUGAAAUUCGUAGAUAUUGGGAAGAACACCGGUGGCGAAGGCGGCUAUCUGGACCGACAUUGACGCUGAGGCGCGAAAGCGUGGGGAGCAAACAGG